GGGAGCUGGAACAGGAGCAAGAGACAGUGGCAAAGCCCAGCUGGUGGUAGAGACAGACAGGGACGGCAGAUGAGCGCCCCCUACCUGCACCGAGCCCCCAGGGUUCCCACCGCCUCUGGGCUCAGUGUACUUCAGAUGGAACUCUGACUAUCUCCAGAUCAAAACAAUCAGUUCCUCUGAUAGUGAUUGUAAAUCCUUUGGGGUCAAGAAGCUGCAGACCUGGUGAUGGUGAGUCCAGUAAGGCUAAAGCGAGCUUUUAACCCAAACAUCAUAGAAGCUACAGUGUGAUGUGGGCAGAACAGAAGUCCUCCCUCCAUCCUUAAAGCAGGCCUCUCCAGCCUCCCGUGACUACUGGCCACCCGUCUGGGAGCUGCAGCCCAGCUAGGGAAUCAAGCGAGGGCCUCAUCCAUGGCCCCCUGCAAGCUGGACCAGCCCAGCUAGUGCUCCAUCGCUUCAGCCCCAGCAGCCCGGAGGCGGGUGCAUGGGCACAGGGUGAGGCAGGGCAUCUGCUCCUUGGCUGCCCGGCCGUGAGCAGCAUGCAAGCCUGCAGUUGGCCAGCUUCCCCCAAUCAAGCCCAGCUUGACCAAACUCCAAUCACUUUAAUAAGGAAAAACCACCCAAACCCGAUCCUGGAGGAAGUCGGUACAUCCGUGUUAAGAAAGCAUUAAGCCAUUCUUGCUCAGGCUGUGUUUCUUUGGAUGUUAUUAAUUUUUAUGAAGGUGCUUUUAUUAUCAAUGGCCAUUAUUAUGCUUUUCUACACUUACAAUGGAACCCCUUUCUGCUCUUCAUACGCAUUGGGG